UACGUAGGGGGCAAGCGUUGUCCGGAAUCAUUGGGCGUAAAGGGCGCGUAGGCGGCCGUGCAAGUGGAAGGUGAAAUCCCUCGGCUCAACCGAGGAACUGCCUUUCAAACUGCAUGGCUUGAGUCCGGGAGAGGUGAGUGGAAUUCCCAGUGUAGCGGUGAAAUGCGUAGAUAUUGGGGAGGAACACCAGUGGCGAAGGCGGCUCACUGGACCGGAACUGACGCUGAGGCGCGAAAGCGUGGGGAGCAAACGGG
rnacentral:rRNA from 1 species